AGGAAUCUACAACCUGUACUACAUAAAAUGAUUUUGCCCUUUGGUGGAUUAUUAAAUGGCCAUUGUCCAUCAACAGACUUCCCAGAACUGCCAACUCUAACUUCUGGUGAACAUGGUUGGAAGAACGGUCUACACUACCAGCCUUCCGUAGUGACCACCAUAAUGUACUCCAAUGGCAAAAGGAUCCAAUCCAGGAUACCAAACUGCAUCUAGAACUCCAACCUUUGAGGAAAAUUAGGACCAGAGUUAGAGCUAUAAAGACCUCAGAUCUAAUGGAUAGAGACUUAGGUUUGGAAUCAGGAAGAGUAAAUAGAAAUAGCACAGAUGUAAGUCUUGGAAAAACCUUAACUUCAAAGAUGUAGCCAUCAUUAUGUUUUACUUCAGGCAAUUUAUAUAUCUGAUGGAAAUCUCAGGUCAUCUGGUAUUCCCCUUUAUUGUCAGAAUUUAGCAAGGGCUCUUUUAAGUCAAAACAUUGAAAACCCUGUUAACUGUGAUACACUCCUGGACUUAAGCAAAGGGCAGUAUCUCAGAGAUUUAGCAGUAUCAUGUAGAUGAAAAUGUGUAUAUAAUAUUCUGAGAUAUAGUUAUCUUCAUACAUAGUUACUAUCUUAUGUAUCUCAUCUCCUUCCAGUUUAUGCCUUAUCCCUUGACCUGUAGCUACAGUAAGCAUUACAAUGUUUCUUUAGUUUGUUCAUUCACCCAAAACAGUUAUUGAGAACUACUUUGUGCUAAGCACUGGGCUGAGCUCUGUGGACCCAUUAAUCUUUUGGAUGAACCCAGACAGGAUAUCCAGGCUAUAUUGUACAGUGGAUAAAUGCUAAUAGAGGUAUUCCUAGAGUGCUGGGGAAAGAAGCAUAGAAGACAUGCAUGGAGAAGAGGAAACUCAUGCAAAAGACAUGGAAGCAUGAGGUAGCAUGGCCUUUUGAGUGUUCAUGCCUUGCCUGGGAGACACGGCAGGGACCGGAACUGGAUGUGUGGGUGGGGGCUUGGGAUGACAAAGACCUUGGAUGCCAACUGAGGGGUCUGAAUUAAUCAUGCCGAGGAUGGGGAACCAACGAUCAAAUUUUGCUUUGGAAAGAUCAGUGUAGAGAAUGGAUUGCCGGAGGAAAGAAUUUGAAGCAGGGAAAGCAGAGGGAACUUUUGGAGUAGUGUGGUUUAUGCAAGAAACUACAAAGCCCUCCUUUCUCUUCUUUGCUUGACCAACAUCUAAAUCAUCCAUAUAGGAAUAGGUUGAAAUGCUACUUCCUCUGAGAAGCCUUUUUUCCCUACUCCUCAGGACAUACAUAGUCACUCACUCCUAUAGCUCUUUGCUCAUAAUUUAAUUAUAGUAUUUAUCACUGAGUGUUGUACGGAUUGUUUGUCGUGUCUAUCUCCCUACUACAGUGAGUUUUCUAGGUCAGGGCCUCUGUCUUAUUCAUCUUGGCAUCUUUAGCAUUUAGGACAGUGCCUUGCACAGAGUGUCUGCUCAAACAUUUGUUGAGUGACAGAAUGAAUAUUUGCCAGUCACGGAUAGAAUGCAUGAGAAAGUUGAUCUUUCCCCCAAAACUGAAUAUUCAUUAUUACUCAAAUUAAUUUUUGCAAAAUUCCAUGCACGAUCAUUUAAUUAGUCCAAUUGAGGAAACAAGGAAAUGAGACUCAAAGAAGAAACUGUAAGUCUUUAAGCAAUUGAUAUAGAUUAGAAUUGCUUGGUCAUGAUUAGAUAAUCAAAAUUUGUGAGUUAGCAAGUAAAAAAGAGAAAUGUUUAUGGAUGCAAACUCAUUGUGGAAUAUAUUAUAAAAAUGAAGUUGUGUGAUUUACCUCAACUGUAUUAUGUGGACAGAAAUAUCUUUAGUUCUGAGGGUUAUCAGUGGGGGUAAGCAAAAUCUCUGUUGCUGCUGGGUGCUAAUUUUCUGGGAAAAGAACUCGAUUUAGCCUAUUUGGGUCUCUGUUGCCUAACUUAUAAAGUCACUUGAACCGGGGGUCACAAAAGGAAAUGCCUAGAGGGGCCAGGUAAGUAGCAGAAAUGAACAAAGGCAGCUGUUGCAAUAAACUAGGAUGUUGGAAACACUUGUGAACUAGAAUCAUGCCUGACCCAUCUCAAGGUGACAGCCCUUACUCCGAUUCAACAGAUAGCUGACAUGCAGGAACUUAGGGUCAGUUUGCUGUAAUUUUUUUUUUUUUUGAGAAGCCAAAUAUCUCAAUUUUUUAAUAGAAACUGUAUUUUUACACUGACAAUACAUUUUAAAAUGAUUGAUACUGUAUGGGUGAAUUCUCUUCCAGCAACCACAUCAUAGGUUGUUUGGGACCAACCUUUCCACUGAGAGCAGCUAGAGAAGCUGGACUAAAUAUUUUUUAAAAAAGUAUAAAAUCAGUGCAAAGCCAGGAAGACUGUGAAGAAUUGUGAAGUCAAGAUCUGGGAGAGGAUUGGAAGUCUAUAGAGGUGAACCUGGUAUUUGGGUCCACUUUUCUCUCAAAUUUGAUUGCUGAUUCUGAAAGCACUGGCUGAGAGGGUGAGGACUGAGAGCUUUGGACACAGACACAUGGAGGUAGGGGCCCCAGAAUUGGACGUAGUGUUUGCCAAGGAGUAGAGAUCUUGGUAAAUGUCUCAGGCAGUCAGUUUGGACCCAGAAGGGCUAUACCCAGGAAUAACAGUGAACUAGAAAUAGACCGAUUCUCACUGAAACCCAACUUCAGAUGGCCUCCAUUUGCUGAUUAGAUUAAGGAGUUUAGGGGUUAUUAGUGCCGAUAACCUAGCUGUCUGCCUAUAGCAUAUGCACCUUCUUUCUGGAGGCAAAUAGCGUCAUACAAAAUCUCUUGACGAUUAUCAUACACAGCGUCUGGUGAUCAAUAAUAACCAGGUAAACAAGGAGACAGGAUGUGACCAAAAUCCAAAAGAAAAAUGGACAAGACAAACAACCACAUGGGAUCCAGAUAACGGAGUUUUCAGACACAGACCACCAUUCCUAUUUUAAGAAAUUAAAAGACAAGAUGAAAAGUGUCUACAGAGAACU